rnacentral:rRNA from 1 species
GACGAACGCUGGCGGCGUGCCUAAUACAUGCAAGUCGAGCGAACGGACGAGAAGCUUGCUUCUCUGAUGUUAGCGGCGGACGGGUGAGUAACACGUGGAUAACCUACCUAUAAGACUGGGAUAACUUCGGGAAACCGGAGCUAAUACCGGAUAAUAUUUCGAACCGCAUGGUUCAAAAGUGAAAGACGGUCUUGCUGUCACUUAUAGAUGGAUCCGCGCUGCAUUAGCUAGUUGGUAAGGUAACGGCUUACCAAGGCAACGAUGCAUAGCCGACCUGAGAGGGUGAUCGGCCACACUGGAACUGAGACACGGUCCAGACUCCUACGGGAGGCAGCAGUAGGGAAUCUUCCGCAAUGGGCGAAAGCCUGACGGAGCAACGCCGCGUGAGUGAUGAAGGUCUUCGGAUCGUAAAACUCUGUUAUUAGGGAAGAACAUAUGUGUAAGUAACUGUGCACAUCUUGACGGUACCUAAUCAGAAAGCCACGGCUAACUACGUGCCAGCAGCCGCGGUAAUACGUAGGUGGCAAGCGUUAUCCGGAAUUAUUGGGCGUAAAGCGCGCGUAGGCGGUUUUUUAAGUCUGAUGUGAAAGCCCACGGCUCACCCGUGGAGGGUCAUUGGAAACUGGAAAACUUGAGUGCAGAAGAGGAAUGUGGAAUUCCAUGUGUAGCGGUGAAAUGCGCAGAGAUAUGGAGGAAACACCAGUGGCGAAAGCGACUUUCUGGUCUGUAACUGACGCUGAUGUGCGAAAGCGUGGGGAUCAAACAGGAUUAGAUACCCUGGUAGUCCACGCCGUAAACGAUGAGUGCUAAGUGUUAGGGGGUUUCCGCCCCUUAGUGCUGCAGCUAACGCAUUAAGCACUCCGCCUGGGGAGUACGACCGCAAGGUUGAAACUCAAAGGAAUUGACGGGGACCCGCACAAGCGGUGGAGCAUGUGGUUUAAUUCGAAGCAACGCGAAGAACCUUACCAAAUCUUGACAUCCUUUGACAACUCUAGAGAUAGAGCCUUCCCCUUCGGGGGACAAAGUGACAGGUGGUGCAUGGUUGUCGUCAGCUCGUGUCGUGAGAUGUUGGGUUAAGUCCCGCAACGAGCGCAACCCUUAAGCUUAGUUGCCAUCAUUAAGUUGGGCACUCUAAGUUGACUGCCGGUGACAAACCGGAGGAAGGUGGGGAUGACGUCAAAUCAUCAUGCCCCUUAUGAUUUGGGCUACACACGUGCUACAAUGGACAAUACAAAGGGCAGCGAAACCGCGAGGUCAAGCAAAUCCCAUAAAGUUGUUCUCAGUUCGGAUUGUAGUCUGCAACUCGACUACAUGAAGCUGGAAUCGCUAGUAAUCGUAGAUCAGCAUGCUACGGUGAAUACGUUCCCGGGUCU